rnacentral:rRNA from 1 species
GAUGAACGCUGGCGGCGUGCCUAAUACAUGCAAGUCGAGCGAAUGGAUUAAGAGCUUGCUCUUAUGAAGUUAGCGGCGGACGGGUGAGUAACACGUGGGUAACCUGCCCAUAAGACUGGGAUAACUCCGGGAAACCGGGGCUAAUACCGGAUAACAUUUUGAACCGCAUGGUUCGAAAUUGAAAGGCGGCUUCGGCUGUCACUUAUGGAUGGACCCGCGUCGCAUUAGCUAGUUGGUGAGGUAACGGCUCACCAAGGCAACGAUGCGUAGCCGACCUGAGAGGGGGAUCGGCCACACGGGGACUGAGAGACGGCCCAGACUCCUGCGGGAGGCAGCAGUAGGGAAUCUUCCGCAAUGGACGAAAGUCUGACGGAGCAACGCCGCGUGAGUGAUGAAGGCUUUCGGGUCGUAAAACUCUGUUGUUAGGGAAGAACAAGUGCUAGUUGAAUAAGCUGGCACCUUGACGGUACCUAACCAGAAAGCCACGGCUAACUACGUGCCAGCAGCCGCGGUAA